rnacentral:rRNA from 1 species
GACGAACGCUGGCGGCGUGCUUAACACAUGCAAGUCGAACGCGAUUUUUGUGGAAAGCCCUUCGGGGACGGAAAUGAAAUGAAAGUGGCGAACGGGUGAGUAACACGUGAGCAACCUACCUUACACAGGGGGAUAGCCGUUGGAAACGACGAUUAAUACCGCAUGAGACCACAAAGCCACAUGGCUUAGGGGUAAAAGAUUUAUCGGUGUAAGAUGGGCUCGCGUCUGAUUAGCUAGUUGGAAGGGUAAAGGCCUACCAAGGCAACGAUCAGUAGCCGGUCUGAGAGGAUGAACGGCCACAUUGGAACUGAGACACGGUCCAAACUCCUACGGGAGGCAGCAGUGGGGAAUAUUGCACAAUGGGGGGAACCCUGAUGCAGCGACGCCGCGUGAGCGAAGAAGGUUUUCGAAUCGUAAAGCUCUGUCCUAUGAGAAGAUAAUGACGGUAUCAUAGGAGGAAGCCCCGGCUAAAUACGUGCCAGCAGCCGCGGUAAUACGUAUGGGGCGAGCGUUGUCCGGAAUUAUUGGGCGUAAAGGGUACGUAGGCGGCCUUUUAAGUCAGGUGUGAAAGCGUGAGGCUUAACCUCAUUAAGCACUUGAAACUGGAAGGCUUGAGUGAAGGAGAGGAAAGUGGAAUUCCUAGUGUAGCGGUGAAAUGCGUAGAUAUUAGGAGGAAUACCGGUGGCGAAGGCGACUUUCUGGACUUUUACUGACGCUCAGGUACGAAAGCGUGGGGAGCAAACAGG